rnacentral:lncRNA from 1 species
GGUCCUGACAUGGGUGCUGCUGCAGAUGAUGAUGCUCCUACUGGUGGAAGUGGUGCUGGCCCUAAGAUUGAGGAAGUCGACUAAGUGUAGUUUCUUUCAUCCUAACUAUGAUUUAUAUUUUCAAGUUAUAUUUAAUUUGAUGCAUUUGCCGCUUAUAUUGUUUGCUUUUAGCUGGUUUUUGGAGCUAUUUAGGCUACUUCGUUAUGUUGUACUGUUAAGGAUUGUGUUAUUGUUAUUGCAAUUUUCAUAUACAUUGGGUUUCUUUUUGUUCUGAGGAGCCGUGCUAAAAUUUGUGUGGAGAUUUUUCGUAAAAAAAACUCAACUCUUAGAAGUCGAUAGAUUUCACCAGUCUACUCCUCU